CUUGUCAGGAGGAAGAGCUGAUGCAUGAAGCAAACCGAGCUCUAAAGAACCAGCUCCAUCCAUUGGGCACACACGAACAAUGAACUUAGGUGCAUCACCAAUAUCAUCACCGCUGCAACCUGAGAUGCUAUGAAAUAAAGCUUUGGUGUGAUUAAAUCCAGAAUCUGAAAUAUGCCAUAAAACUGAGAGCCUGGGCCUCGUUUAGACAAGGAGGAUCGAGGAGACUUUGUCAAAAUGAUGUUAUUUAAGCUGAGUGUGCCAGCAUUAUAGGAUUUAGCCAAGUAAAGACUGAAGAACACUGAGAGAAAUCUACCCAGCGUAUCGGAUACACACAUUGCUGUUCAUCCAGCUGGUAAUAUAUUUUGCUCCUUUCCAAGACUCUAAUUUAUUAGCAGAUGCAGAAAAACAAGCCCUGUCGGUCAGUGGUCACAAACGACCAAGAGGGAUGAUCGAUGCAUUGCUCUGGGAGGCUAAGGUCACAGGGUAUGAACGAAAAAGUGCGACACGUGGAUUAAGCAAAC
rnacentral:lncRNA from 1 species